rnacentral:rRNA from 1 species
GACGAACGCUGGCGGCGUGCUUAACACAUGCAAGUCGAACGGAAAGGCCCUGCUUUUGUGGGGUGCUCGAGUGGCGAACGGGUGAGUAACACGUGAGUAACCUGCCCUUGACUUUGGGAUAACUUCAGGAAACUGGGGCUAAUACCGGAUAGGAGCUCCUGCUGCAUGGUGGGGGUUGGAAAGUUUCGGCGGUUGGGGAUGGACUCGCGGCUUAUCAGUUUGUUGGUGGGGUAGUGGCUUACCAAGGCUUUGACGGGUAGCCGGCCUGAGAGGGUGACCGGCCACAUUGGGACUGAGAUACGGCCCAGACUCCUACGGGAGGCAGCAGUGGGGAAUAUUGCACAAUGGGCGGAAGCCUGAUGCAGCAACGCCGCGUGCGGGAUGACGGCCUUCGGGUUGUAAACCGCUUUCGCCUGUGACGAAGCGUAAGUGACGGUAAUGGGUAAAGAAGCACCGGCUAACUACGUG